rnacentral:rRNA from 1 species
UCGAACGCGAAAGCCCCCUUCGGGGGGCAAGUAGAGUGGCGCACGGGUGAGUAACACGUAGGUAAUCUACCUUUGGAUGGGGAAUAACAACCGGAAACGGUUGCUAAUACCGCAUAAUGCAGCGGCACCUAAUGGUGACAGUUGUUAAAGCGGGGGAUCGCAAGACCUCGCGUCUGAAGAGGAGCCUGCGGCAGAUUAGCUAGUUGGUAAGGUAAAGGCUUACCAAGGCGAUGAUCUGUAGCCGGCCUGAGAGGGCGGUCGGCCACACUGACACUGACAUACGGGUCAGACUCCUACGGGAGGCAGCAGUCGGGAAUUUUGGGCAAUGGGCGAAAGCCUGACCCAGCAACGCCGCGUGAAGGAUGAAAUCCCUCGGGAUGUAAACUUCGCAAGAACGGGAAGAAUAAGUAAGAGCUAACAUCUCUUAUGAUGACGGUACUGUUUGUAAGCUCCGGCUAACUCCGUGCCAGCAGCCGCGGUAAUACGGGGGGAGCAAGCGUUGUUCGGAUUUACUGGGCGUAAAGGGCGCGUAGGCGGCCACCGCAAGUCGACUGUGAAAUCUCCGGGCUUAACUCGGAAAGGUCAGCCGAUACUGCGGGGCUAGAGUGCAGAAGGGGCAACUGGAAUUCUCGGUGUAGCGGUGAAAUGCGUAGAUUUCGAGAGGAACACCUGCGGCGAAGGCGGGUUGCUGGGCUGACACUGACGCUGAGGCGCGAAAGCUAGGGGAGCGAACGGGAUUAGAUACCCCGGUAGCCCUAGCCUUAAACGAUGAAUGCUUGGUGUCUGGGGUUUUAUAG